rnacentral:rRNA from 1 species
CCUACGGGAGGCAGCAGUAGGGAAUAUUGCUCAAUGGGGGAAACCCUGAAGCAGCAACGCCGCGUGGAGGACGAAGGUUUUCGGAUUGUAAACUCCUUUUGUUAGAGAAGAUAAUGACGGUAUCUAACGAAUAAGCACCGGCUAACUCCGUACCAGCAGCCGCGGCAAGACGGAGGGUGCAAGCGUUACUCGGAAGCACUGGGCGUAAAGAGGGCGUAGGCUGGUUAGCAAGUCAGAUGUGAAAUCCUAUGGCUUAACCAGAGAACUGCAUUUGAAACUGUUAGUCUAGAGUAUAGGAGAGGUAGGUGGAAUUCUUGGUGUAGGGGUAGAAUCCGUAGAGAUCAAGAGGAAUACUCAUUGCGAAGGCGACCUGCUAGAACAUAACUGACGCUGAGGAGCGAAAGCGUGGGUAGCAAACAGGAUUAGAUACCCUGGUAGUC